rnacentral:rRNA from 1 species
GGGCAUUUGCGGGCGGCUAACACAUGCAAGUCGAGCGGAUGAGAAGAGCUUGCUCUUCGAUUCAGCGGCGGACGGGUGAGUAAUGCCUAGGAAUCUGCCUGAUAGUGGGGGACAACGUUUCGAAAGGAACGCUAAUACCGCAUACGUCCUACGGGAGAAAGCAGGGGACCUUCGGGCCUUGCGCUAUCAAAUGAGCCUAAGUCGGAUUAACUAGUUGGUGGGGUAAUGGCUCACCAAGGCGACGAUCCGUAACUGGUCUGAGAGGAUGAUCAGUCACACUGGAACUGAGACACGGUCCAGACUCCUACGGGAGGCAGCAGUGGGGAAUAUUGGACAAUGGGCGAAAGCCUGAUCCAGCCAUGCCGCGUGUGUGAAGAAGGUCUUCGGAUUGUAAAGCACUUUAAGUUGGGAGGAAGGGCAGUAAGCGAAUACCUUGCUGUUUUGACGUUACCGACAGAAUAAGCACCGGCUAACUCUGUGCCAGCAGCCGCGGUAAUACAGAGGGUGCAAGCGUUAAUCGG